rnacentral:rRNA from 1 species
CCCUUAGAUGUUCUGGGCCGCACGCGCGCUACACUGAUCAGUGCAACAAGCAUCCGUCCUUGGCCGACAGGCCCGGGCAACCUUUGAACGCUGAUCGUGAUGGGGAUAGACUUUUGCAAUUUUUGGUCUUCAACGAGGAAUUCCUAGUAAACGCAAGUCAUCAACUUGCAUUGAUUACGUCCCUGCCCUUUGUACACACCGCCCGUCGCACCUACCGAUUGAAUGGUCCGGUGAAGCCUCCGGAUUGGCGUGCACCCUCGGGUGCUGCCGAGAAGUUGGCUAAACCUUACCAUUUAGAGGAAGGUGAAGUCGUAACA